UACGUAGGGUGCGAGCGUUAAUCGGAAUUACUGGGCGUAAAGCGUGCGCAGGCGGUUUUGUAAGCCAGAUGUGAAAGCCCCGGGCUUAACCCUGGGAAUGGCAUUUGGGACUGCAAGGCUUGAGUGCGGCAGAGGAGACUGGAAUUCCUGGUGUAGCAGUGAAAUGCGUAGAUAUCAGGAGGAAUACCGAUGCGAAGGCAGGUCUCUGGGCUGACACUGACGCUCAUGCACGAAAGCGUGGGGAGCGAACAA
rnacentral:rRNA from 1 species